CCUACGGGUGGCUGCAGUGGGGAAUUUUGGACAAUGGGGGCAACCCUGAUCCAGCCAUUCCGCGUGAGUGAAGAAGGCCUUCGGGUUGUAAAGCUCUUUUGUCCGGAGCGAAACGGGCGGCCCUAAUACGGUCGUCUACUGACGGUACCGGCAGAAUAAGCACCGGCUAACUACGUGCCAGCAGCCGCGGUACUACAUAGGGUGCGAGCGUUGAUCGGCGUUAGCGGGCGUAAAGGGUGGGCAGGCGGGAAAUCCCCGGGCUCAACCUGGGAAUGGCAUUUGGGACUGCAAGGCUGGAGUGUGGCAGAGGGGACUAGAAUUCCUGGUGUAGCAGUGAAAUGCGUAGAUAUCAGGAGGAAUACCGAUGGCGAAGGCAGGUCCCUGGGUUAACACUGACGCUCAUGCACGAAAGCGUGGGGAGCAAACAGGAUUAGAUACCCCAGUAGUC
rnacentral:rRNA from 1 species